AGGGUGCAGGGCGGAUGCCUUGGCACUAGGAGCCGAUGAAGGACGUGAUAAGCUGCGAUAAGCUUCGGGGAGUUGCACGUAAACUUUGAUCCGAAGAUUUCCGAAUGAGGAAACUCACUUAGAGUAAUGUCUAAGUAUCAUUAAGUGAAUACAUAGCUUAAUGAGGGGAACUCAGGGAACUGAAACAUCUAAGUACCUGAAGGAAGAGAAAGAAAUUCGAUUCCGUAAGUAGCGGCGAGCGAACGCGGAUUAGCCCAAACCAAUAAAGUUUUCUUUAUUGGGGUUGCGGACAUAUCAUAACGAAGAGGUAUCGUAAUUGAAGAGGUUUGGAAAGACCCACCACAGAAGGUAAUAGUCCUGUAUGUUAAACGAGAAGACUUCAGAUAUGAUCCAGAGUACCACGGGACACGUGAAACCCUGUGGGAAGCAGGAGGGACCACCCUCCAAGGCUAAAUACUACCUAGUGACCGAUAGCGUAUAGUACCGUGAGGGAAAGGUGAAAAGAACCCCGGGAGGGGAGUGAAAUAGAACCUGAAACCCUGCACUUACAAGCUGUGGAAGCACAUUUCUUGUGUGACCGCGUACUUUUUGUAGAACGGGCCAACGAGUUACGUUAAGUAGCAAGGUUAAGCACUUAAGGUGCGGAGCCGUAGCGAAAGCGAGUUUUAACUGAGCGUUCAGUUACUUGACGUAGACCCGAAACCGGGCGACCUACCCAUGAGCAGGAUGAAGCGAAAGUAAAAUUUCGUGGAGGUCCGAACCCACGAGCGUUGAAAAGCUCGGGGAUGACUUGUGGGUAGCGGUGAAAUUCCAAUCGAGCCCGGAGAUAGCUGGUUCUCCCCGAAAUAGCUUUAGGGCUAGCCUCAAGGUGAGAGAUACGGAGGUAGAGCACUGAAUGUCCUAGGGGGUAUUGCACCUACCGAAGACUAUCAAACUCCGAAUGCCGUCAUCUUAUACUUGGGAGUCAGACUGUGGGUGAUAAGAUUCAUAGUCGAAAGGGCAACAGCCCAGAUCGUCAGCUAAGGUCCCUAAAUGUAAGUUAAGUGGUAAAGGAUGUGGGAUUGCACAGACAACCAGGAUGUUGGCUUAGAAGCAGCCAUUCAUUCAAAGAGUGCGUAAUAGCUCACUGGUCGAGUGAUCCUGCGCCGAAGAUUUCCGGGGCUAAAACUUACUACCGAAGCUACGGCAUCAGUAAUGAUGGGUAGGGGAGCUUCCCAUACGGGUUGAAGCAUGACCGUAAGGACAUGUGGACAGUAUGGGAGUGAGAAUGUUGGCAUGAGUAGCGAGAUGUGGGUGAGAAUCCCACAGGCCGUAAACCCAAGGUUUCCAGGGGAAGGUUCGUCCGCCCUGGGUUAGUCGGGACCUAAGCUGAGGCCGAAAGGCGUAGGUGAUGGACAACAGGUUGAUAUUCCUGUACUACCGAUAACCGUUUGAGAGAAGGGAUGACACAGUAGGAUAAGCUAAGCACACUGUUGGUUAUGUGUGCCCAAGCAUUGAGGCAGUCAAAGCAGGCAAAUCCGCUUUGAUAAUGCUGGGAUGUGAUGGGGAGCGAAAUUUAGUAGCGAAGUAGCUGAUUUCACACUGUCAAGAAAAGUCUCUAUCGAGGUUAAAGGUACCCGUACCGCAAACCGACACAGGUGGGUGAGGAGAGUAUCCUAAGGCCAGCGAGAGAACUGUUGUUAAGGAACUCGGCAAAAUGACCCCGUAACUUAGGGAUAAGGGGUGCCACCAUCCGGUGGCCGCAGAGAAUAGGCCCAAGCGACUGUUUACCAAAAACAUAGGUUUCUGCUAAGUCGCAAGACGAUGUAUAGGAGCUGACGCCUGCCCGGUGCUGGAAGGUUAAGGGGAUCUGUUAGAGCAAUCGAAGCAGUGAACUUAAGCCCCAGUAAACGGCGGCCGUAACUAUAACGGUCCUAAGGUAGCGAAAUUCCUUGUCGGGUAAGUUCCGACCCGCACGAAAGGCGUAACGAUUUGGGCACUGUCUCAACAACAGACUCGGUGAAAUUGUAAUUCCGGUGAAGAUGCCGGAUACCUGCGACAGGACGGAAAGACCCCAUGGAGCUUUACUGUAGCUUGACAUUGGGUCUUGGUACUACAUGUACAGGAUAGGUGGGAGGCUUUGAAACCAGGACGCCAGUUUUGGCGGAGCCAUCCUUGGGAUACCACCCUUGUAGUACUGGGACUCUAACCAUAGGCCAUGAAUCUGGUCUUGGGACACUGUCAGGUGGGCAGUUUGACUGGGGCGGUCGCCUCCCAAAAGGUAACGGAGGCGCUCAAAGGUUCUCUCAGUACGGUCGGAAAUCGUACGUAGAGUGUAAAGGCAAAAGAGAGCUUGAUUGCAAGACAUACAGGUCGAGCAAGGAUGAAAAUCGGACUUAGUGAUCCGGUGGUUCUGCGUGGAAGGGCCAUCGCUCAACGGAUAAAAGCUACCCUGGGGAUAACAGGCUUAUCUCCCCCAAGAGUCCACAUCGACGGGGAGGUUUGGCACCUCGAUGUCGGCUCAUCACAUCCUGGGGCUGUAGUAGGUCCCAAGGGUUGGGCUGUUCGCCCAUUAAAGUGGUACGCGAGCUGGGUUCAGAACGUCGUGAGACAGUUCGGUCCCUAUCCGUCGCAGGCGUAGGAAAUUUGAGAAGACCUGUCCUUAGUACGAGAGGACCGGGAUGGACGUACCUCUGGUGUACCAGUUGUUCUGCCAAGGGCAUGGCUGGGUAGCUAUGUACGGAAUGGAUAAGCGCUGAAAGCAUCUAAGCGCGAAGCCAACUUCAAGAUAAGAUUUCCCACCGCAAGGGUAAGACCCCAGAAAGACUAUCUGGUUGA
rnacentral:rRNA from 1 species